rnacentral:lncRNA from 1 species
CAGAGCCCCGCCCACUCACACUCUUCUCUCUCCCCGUUCUCCUCUCUUUCUGCUUCUGUCUUCCUCUUCUCUUCUGUCUUCCCUCUGUGUCUCUUUACCUCUUUUCUCUUUCCUUCCCCUUCCCUCCCCUUCCUAAUAAAACCUCUCACUCAAGCUCUGUCUGCCUGGCGUGUUUCGGUCACCCUAGCUGGCAUGGAAUCCGCCAUGGCCUCCACUGUAGAACCCCCUUCCGGCUUUAUCCUAGCAUUUGAAGCAAAAGAACAACUCCUUUCAGUCAACAGACAGCCUGAGGAGAUAGAUUUGGGACCCAUAAAACAGGAAGUCCAUGUGCAGCUGUGGCUGGCCUGAAACUUGAUAUGCAGACCGAGUAAUCCCAAACUCACAGACAUCUGCCUGCUUCUUCCACUGCUGAGAUUAAAGUACAUGUGUUCACAAAAGGUUU